rnacentral:rRNA from 1 species
UACGUAGGGAGCAAGCGUUGUCCGGAAUCAUUGGGCGUAAAGCGCGCGUAGGUGGCUUCGUAAGUCCGUUGUGAAAGUCAAAGGCUCAACCUUUGAAAGCCGAUGGAUACUGCGGAGCUAGAGUACGGAAGAGGCGAGUGGAAUUCCUGGUGUAGCGGUGGAAUGCGCAGAUAUCAGGAGGAACACCAAUAGCGAAGGCAGCUCGCUGGGACGUUACUGACGCUGAGACACGAAAGCGUGGGGAGCAAACAGG